rnacentral:rRNA from 2 species
AAUCUAAGAGAUUAGACGUUCCCUUCGGGGACAUGGAUACAGGUGGUGCAUGGUUGUCGUCAGCUCGUGUCGUGAGAUGUUGGGUUAAGUCCCGCAACGAGCGCAACCCUUAUUAUCAGUUGCCAGCAUUAAGUUGGGCACUCUGGUGAGACUGCCGGUGACAAACCGGAGGAAGGUGGGGAUGACGUCAAAUCAUCAUGCCCCUUAUGACCUGGGCUACACACGUGCUACAAUGGAUGGUACAACGAGUUGCGAACUCGCGAGAGUAAGCUAAUCUCUUAAAGCCAUUCUCAGUUCGGAUUGUAGGCUGCAACUCGCCUACAUGAAGUCGGAAUCGCUAGUAAUCGCGGAUCAGCAUGCCGCGGUGAAUACGUUCCCGGGCCUUGUACACACCGCCCGUCACACCAUGAGAGUUUGUAACACCCAAAGUCGGUGGGGUAACCUUUUAGGAACCAGCCGCCUAAGGUGGGACAGAUGAUUAGGGUGAAGUCGUAACAAGGUAGCCGUAGGAGAA